GUUUUAAAAAAAAAAAAGUUCAUGGGAUGUGUCCAAAGCAAAACAAAGAGAAUCCCGAAAUUCGGGGAUAUGCUUGAAAGAAGAGAAUCAUUUUUUGGCCUUCACCUUCACUUUUUGGUUGUCAUCCACGAACGGCAGUGCCCAUCUUGCACCUCUGUAAAGGUCCUUCUAUACUACAAGACUCUCCAUUCUCACCAAACAUCCUUCACAGACACGUUACUGGAAAAAAGAGAGUCAGUCACAAGGAGAAAGGAUCCAUUUGACGCACGGGGCUAACAAAGACCGAACCAAGCUUUCAAAAGGUUGAGUCGCGCGGAAGAAGACCCUGUCGCAUUUUGUUCUUGAUUAUUGUUAAGAAGCUGCGGGCAAUAGUUGAUGGUGUCGCAAGGAGGCGUUAGAAUCUGGAUGACUCAUUACCACUACUGUGACUCAUUUGCCACGUUUUAAUUCUCUAGUGCCAAAUAAUCAGCCACUUAACACCGUUAGUGUGUAUUUAACGGAGAUGACUACAUUGACACAAAUUUUUUCUAUGUUUGGAUUCAAUUGACACUUUUACACCACGUGAGGACGACAAUGAAACUUUUUUAAAAAUGAGGAUGAAUUUGACACAAUUCAACCAAACUGGGGACAAAGGAAGCAAUUAAACCAAAAAUUUACUAUUCAUUUUUACUAUUCAUUUUACUAUUACAAAAAUAAUUUUUUAUUCACAAUUUGAUGAAUUCUGAUCUCUUGGCAAUUUUGGGCAGGUUGAGUCGCGCGGAAGAAGACCCUGUCGCAUUUUGUUCUUGAUUAUUGUUAAGAAGCUGCGGGCAAUAGUUGAUGGUGUCGCAAGGAGGCGUUAGAAUCUGGAUGACUCAUUACCACUACUGUGACUCAUUUGCCACGUUUUAAUUCUCUAGUGCCAAAUAAUCAGCCACUUAACACCGUUAGUGUGUAUUUAACGGAGAUGACUACAUUGACACAAAUUUUUUCUAUGUUUGGAUUCAAUUGACACUUUUACACCACGUGAGGACGACAAUGAAACUUUUUUAAAAAUGAGGAUGAAUUUGACACAAUUCAACCAAACUGGGGACAAAGGAAGCAAUUAAACCAAAAAUUUACUAUUCAUUUUUACUAUUCAUUUUACUAUUACAAAAAUAAUUUUUUAUUCACAAUUUGAUGAAUUCUGAUCUCUUGGCAAUUUUGGGCAGGUUGAGUCGCGCGGAAGAAGACCCUGUCGCAUUUUGUUCUUGAUUAUUGUUAAGAAGCUGCGGGCAAUAGUUGAUGGUGUCGCAAGGAGGCGUUAGAAUUCUGAUCUCUUAUGACUAAAGACAACGUGGAAUACUUAUCCCUUCCACAAUUUUUUUUUAUUCACUAUUCACUUUUUACUAUUCACAUUUUACUAUUCACAUUUUACUAUUCACUUUUUACUAUUUUUUUAUAUCACAAGUUUUAUUAUUAA